AAUGGGUGAAAGCCUGAUCCAGCCAUCCCGCGUGAAGGAUGACGGUCCUAUGGAUUGUAAACUUCUUUUGUACAGGGAUAAACCUACCCUCGUGAGGGUAGCUGAAGGUACUGUACGAAUAAGCACCGGCUAACUCCGUGCCAGCAGCCGCGGUAAUACGGAGGGUGCAAGCGUUAUCCGGAUUUAUUGGGUUUAAAGGGUCCGUAGGCGGACCUGUAAGUCAGUGGUGAAAUCUCAUAGCUUAACUAUGAAACUGCCAUUGAUACUGCAGGUCUUGAGUAAAUUUGAAGUGGCUGGAAUAAGUAGUGUAGCGGUGAAAUGCAUAGAUAUUACUUAGAACACCAAUUGCGAAGGCAGGUCACUAAGAUUUAACUGACGCUGAUGGACGAAAGCGUGGGUAGCGAA
rnacentral:rRNA from 1 species